rnacentral:rRNA from 1 species
ACGCUCGACACCUACUGGAGGCAGCAGUUGGGAAUAUUGGACAAUGGAGGGAACUCUGAUCCAGUGACGCCGCGUGAAGGAAGAAGGUCUUCGGAUUGUAAACUUAUUUUAUCAGGGAAGAAUAAAGUGACAGUACCUGAGGAAGAAGGACCGGCUAACUACGUGCCAGCAGCCGGCGGUAAUCUGAGGCGGGCUGGCGAAGGC